rnacentral:rRNA from 1 species
UAGGGAAUCUUCCACAAUGGGCGCAAGCCUGAUGGAGCAACACCGCGUGAGUGAAGAAGGGUUUCGGCUCGUAAAGCUCUUGUUGUUAAAGAAGAACACGUAUGAGAGUAACUGUUCAUACGUUGACGGUAUUUAACCAGAAAGUCACGGCUAACUACGUGCCAG